rnacentral:sRNA from 1 species
ACAAGCCCAAACCAACGCCACACACGCAUCGGCACCGUUCUUCGGGGUGCCGCGCGCAGCGUUCGCUGCCGCGGUCGAAGCCGGGGAUGCGUGGAGGUCCCAAC